rnacentral:tRNA from 1 species
GUUUCUGUAGUGUAGUGGUUAUCACGCUUAAGCUCUCACGCGAAAAGGUCCCCGGUUCGAGACCGGGCAGGAACA